GUUAAAAAGCUCGUAGUUGGAGUUCUGCCAGGUGCCGCCUGUCCGCCCCAGUGGUGAGUACGUGGCGCGCAUUUGGCCCUUUCAAGGGGAGCGUAUCUGCACUUAACUGUGUGGUGCGGGAUCCUUGACUUUUACUUUGAGGAAAUAAGAGUGUUCCAAGCAGGCUCUCGUCGUGCAUAGCUCAGCAUGGAAUAAUAGCAUUGGACCUCGAUUCUAAGCUGUUGGUUGCCAGAAACGAGGUAAUGAUGAAGAGGGAUAGUUGGGGGCAUUCGUAUUUAACUGUCAGAGGUGAAAUUCUUGGAUUUGUUAAAGACGAACUACUGCGAAAGCAUCUGCCAUGGAUGUUUUCAUUGAUCAAGAACGAAAGUUAGGGGAUCGAAGACGAUCAGAUACCGUCCUAGUCUUAACUAUAAACCAUGCCGGCUAGAGAUCGGAGGUUGUUCGUUUUGUGACGCCUUCAGCAUCUUGAGAGAAAUCAAAGCCUUUGGGUUCCGGGGGGAGUAUGGUCGCAAGGCUGAAACUUAAAGGAAUUGACGGAAGGGCACCACCAGGAGUGGAGCCUGCGGCUUAAUUUGACUCAACACGGGGAAACUCACCAGGUCCAGACUGGGUAAGGAUGUACAGAUUGACAGCUCUUUACAGAUUCUCAGGGUGGUGGUGCAUGGCCGUUCUUAGUUGGUGGAGUGAUUUGUCUGGUUAAUUCCGUUAA
rnacentral:rRNA from 1 species